rnacentral:rRNA from 1 species
UACGUAGGGUGCGAGCGUUAAUCGGAAUUACUGGGCGUAAAGCGUGCGCAGGCGGUUUUGUAAGCCAGAUGUGAAAUCCCCGGGCUUAACCUGGGAAUGGCAUUUGGGACUGCAAGGCUGGAGUUUGGCAGGGGAGACUGGAAUUCCUGGUGUAGCAGUGAAAUGCGUAGAUAUCAGGAGGAAUACCGAUGGCGAAGGCAGGUCUCUGGGCUAUAACUGACGCUCAUGCACGAAAGCGUGGGGAGCAAACAGG